rnacentral:rRNA from 2 species
GACCCUAUAGAAUUUUAUAUUUUUAUUUUAAAAGGUAUUAGUAUUUAAAAUUUUUAUAAAAAAAAGUAUUUGAUUGGGGUGAUUGAAAAAUUUAAUAAACUUUUUUUGUAUAUGAACACAAAUAAGUGAGUAUAUGAUCCUAUUAUAUAGAUUAUAAGAAAAAAUUACCUUAGGGAUAACAGCGUAAUAUUUUUUGAGAGUUCUAAUCGAAAAAAAUGUUUGCGACCUCGAUGUUGGAUUAAAAUUAAGUUUUGGUGUAGCAGCUAAAUGAUUGGGUCUGUUCGACCCUUAAAAUUUUACAUGAUCUGA